UACGGAGAGUGCAAACGUUGUUCGGAUUCACUGGGCGUAAAGGGCACGUAGGCGGCUCGGCAAAUCGGUCGUGGAAUCCCGACGCUUACCGUCGGAACGGCGGCCGAAAAUACCGGGCUCGAGGGCGUGAGGGGUCACUGGAACUCCUGGUGAAGCGGUGAAAUGCGUAGAUAUCAGGAGGAACGCCGGAGGCGAAAGCGAGUGACUGGCGCGUUCCCGACGCUGAGGUGCGAAAGCUAGGGGAGCAAACAGG
rnacentral:rRNA from 1 species